UCGCGGCCUCCGUCUCUAAUCGAAGUAAAGCCCGCGGGGCGCGCGGCUGCCGAGGACACGGCGGAUCUGGGGCGCGGGGACACGCGGAGCCUGACCCGGGAGGCCGCCCUUCAGCCGCGACCCGCUCGGCCAGAGAGAACGCGACCUCGUUCGGGUCACGGGUCCACGACGCACCACGCGCUCCUCACGCUUUCAGGCCAGCGGAGGGGAAGCCCCCGCCUCCUCGACACCCCGUGCGAGGCCCGUGUCACCUUCUUCAUCCCCUGAUGCUUCGUCCUCCGACGCUCGAGUGUGCUGCCCUCCCGGAAGGAGACGAGGCUCAAGACACGAUCAUUGUCCCAGAGUCACACAGCAGCCUGGUGACCCGGUCCCCAGCUCCCAAAAGCUGAUGCUCCUCAGCUCUCUGGAGACUUGCCAAGGCCCGGGAAGGCGGCAGCCGGGCCCCCCGCCCCCCGCCAGACACCCCGAGUCCGCCCGGGCCGCAGCAUCGGCUGACGGCAGGGAAACCUCGGGAAGGGACGCCGCGUCACCAUUUCGCAGCUAAAGGCAGCACGUGGCGGCCUCAGUGGCCUUGGGGCGCUCGGCGGGUCCCAGGAGACGGCAGCUGGGCCUGCGGGCUCCCACCAGACACAGCCUCCGCGUGGGCCGGGCCGCGGGGGGCGGGAGGUCGCACCCGUGGGAGGAGCCCCCCACGCACAGGCCUGUCCGCGCCACGCCGGGGCUUCUGUUGUCCCAGGCGGCCCCCGACCAGGGCCACCUCUUCCCACCUGCCCACAGGAGCUCCCUCCUCGUGGCUGUUCUCACUGGAGAUGCGCUGCGUGGACGAGGAACUGAGUCAACAACCGCAUCCUCCGGAUCCACGCGGAUGUAAGCACCUCCAUCGCCCCCGAGCGGCCAGCGGUGCAGGGUCCCCUCCGCUCGGGAGACCGCCCCGCCUCGUGUCCCUACCGACGUGCCUCAUGCACACUCCCCCGGACCGGGCGUCCCGUGGGCUACACCCCGGCUGGGCUUUCAGUUCCGUCCUCGGGGUCCAGGAGUGCAGCCGCCAGACGGCAGGUGCUUAGCAAGUGUCGGUCGGAGAAUGAGUAGAUCCCAGGUCCGACACCGGCGUGGCCGCGCACAGGCCCGUCCCUGGUGGCCCCCUCCUGACGGGAGGAACGGCCGGCGCGGGGCCCUCGGGACCUAAAGGUGAGCCGCAGACCAGACCGUGACGAAAUGCCCGUCAGCCUUCGCCCAGGCCCGCACCUGCCGACGUCGCUACCUAUUCAUUGUAGUUGAGGAAAUUCAAAGUGUAACUGUCCCCGGCUCUGGGCCUGGCUCAGGCCUCUCCAUCUCCGCUGGACCCCACGCAAUUUGCUUCAUUACCCCCCAAAUUAUUACCGCAACUAAAACAGAGGCUUAGUAGACAACCGUGAACGUCCUUGUCCUUGCCUGGAAGCACCUCACCUCCUGGCGAGACGGCGUCCCCUGAUGAAGCCGGCUGACCCCAAGCCCUAGGUCCGAGCGCCGGAGAACGGGCAGGAGGGGAGCUUCCACAGGUCGGGCUGGGUUGGCUCCCCGCGCAGCAGGUGCCAGAAGGUCCCAGAAGGUCCCAGAAGGUCCGGGCCCACAGCCCAGGGUGGGGCGAGCUCUCCGCAGCCAGGAGCCAGCUGCACCCGCAGUGCCCUUCAGGGGAGCCUCAGGGCCGUUCAUUCCCGGGGUCACCCCCCGGCGCUCCCCCUAUUCCCGGGGUCACCCCCUGGCGCUCCUCCUUAAAAGCAACUUGCUGCUGCCCAGGUCACAGCCCCC